GGGAUUGCCCUAGUAACGGCGAGUGAAGCGGCAACAGCUCAAAUUUGAAAUCUGGCGCAAGCCCGAGUUGUAAUUUGUAGAGGAUGCUUCUGGGUAGCGACCGGUCUAAGUUCCUUGGAACAGGACGUCAUAGAGGGUGAGAAUCCCGUAUGUGACCGGCCCGCACCCUUCACGUAGCUCCUUCGACGAGUCGAGUUGUUUGGGAAUGCAGCUCUAAAUGGGAGGUAAAUUUCUUCUAAAGCUAAAUACCGGCCAGAGACCGAUAGCGCACAAGUAGAGUGAUCGAAAGAUGAAAAGUACUUUGGAAAGAGAGUUAAAAAGCACGUGAAAUUGUUGAAAGGGAAGCGCCUGCAAUCAGACUUCGCGGCAGUGUUCCGCCGGCCUUCUGGCCGGUUCAUUCUCUGUCGCGAGGCCAUCAUCGUCUCGGCCCGCUGGAUAAGACCUUGGGAAUGUAGCUCACCUUCGGGGGAGUGUUAUAGCUCAUGGUGAUGCAGCGAGGCUGGGGCGAGGUCCGCGCUUCGGCAAGGAUGAUGGCGUAAUGGUUGUCGGCGGCCCGUCUUGAAACACGGACCAAGGAGUCUAACAUCUAUGCGAGUGUUCGGGUGUCAAACCCCUACGCGUAAUGAAAGUGAACGGAGGUGGGAACCGCAAGGUGCACCAUCGACCGAUCCUGAUGUCCUCGGAUGGAUUUGAGUAAGAGCAUAGCUGUUGGGACCCGAAAGAUGGUGAACUAUGCCUGAAUAGGGUGAAGCCAGAGGAAACUCUGGUGGAGGCUCGCAGCGGUUCUGACGUGCAAAUCGAUCGUCAAAUUUGGGUAUAGGGGCG
rnacentral:rRNA from 1 species